rnacentral:tRNA from 1 species
UAUUUAUUAUUAUAAAAAAUAUAUCUAACUGUUAAUUAGAAGUUUUUGGGUGGCAGAAUAAAUAU